rnacentral:rRNA from 1 species
UCGACGGUAGCGCAGAGAGCUUGCUCUCGGGUGACGAGUGGCGGACGGGUGAGUAAUGUCUGGGAAACUGCGUGAUGGAGGGGGAUAACUACUGGAAACGGUAGCUAAUACCGCAUAACGUCGCAAGACCAAAGAGGGGGACCUUCGGGCCUCUUGCCAUCAGAUGUGCCCAGAUGGGAUUAGCUAGUAGGUGGGGUAACGGCUCACCUAGGCGACGAUCCCUAGCUGGUCUGAGAGGAUGACCAGCCACUCUGGAACUGAGACACGGUCCAGACUCCUACGGGAGGCAGCAGUGGGGAAUAUUGCACAAUGGGCGCAAGCCUGAUGCAGCCAUGCCGCGUGUAUGAGGAAGGCCUUCGGGUUGUAAAGUACUUUCAGCGGGGAGGAAGGUGUUGUGGUUAAUAACCGCAGCAAUUGACGUUACCCGCAGAAGAAGCACCGGCUAACUCCGUGCCAGCAGCCGCGGUAAUACGGAGGGUGCAGGCGUUAAUCGGAAUUACUGGGCGUAAAGCGCACGCAGGCGGUCUGUCAAGUCGGAUGUGAAAUCCCCGGGCUCAACCUGGGAACUGCAUUCGAAACUGGCA